GAUGAACGCUGGCGGCGUGCCUAAUACAUGCAAGUCGAGCGAACAGACGAGGAGCUUGCUCCUCUGACGUUAGCGGCGGACGGGUGAGUAACACGUGGAUAACCUACCUAUAAGACUGGGAUAACUUCGGGAAACCGGAGCUAAUACCGGAUAAUAUAUUGAACCGCAUGGUUCAAUAGUGAAAGACGGUUUUGCUGUCACUUAUAGAUGGAUCCGCGCCGCAUUAGCUAGUUGGUAAGGUAACGGCUUACCAAGGCAACGAUGCGUAGCCGACCUGAGAGGGUGACCGGACACACUGGAACUGAGACACGGUCCAGACUCCGACGGGAGGCAGAAGUAGGGAAUCUUCCGCAAUGGGCGAAAGCCGGACGGAGCAACGCCGCGUGAGGGAUGAAGGUCUUCGGAUCGUAAAACUCUGUUAUUAGGGAAGAACAAAUGUGUAAGUAACUAUGCACGUCUUGACGGUACCUAAUCAGAAAGCCACGGCUAACUACGGG
rnacentral:rRNA from 1 species